ensembl:snoRNA
CGCAGCUUUGUCAAAUUCAGAGCUCCUUGUGCAGUAGGGCGCGCUGGCCAAAAUGGCUGCAACAGCAACUCCGUAGUUCAUGGGUCCCACUCCUCUCUACCGUGGGUCCUGGGGAUAAAUAUGUACUGCGGACAGAA